UACGAAGGGGGCUAGCGUUGCUCGGAAUCACUGGGCGUAAAGCGCACGUAGGCGGCUUUUUAAGUCAGGGGUGAAAUCCUGGAGCUCAACUCCAGAACUGCCUUUGAUACUGAAGAGCUUGAGUCCGGGAGAGGUGAGUGGAACUGCGAGUGUAGAGGUGAAAUUCGUAGAUAUUCGCAAGAACACCUGCGGCGAAGGCGGGUUGCUGGGCCGACACUGACGCUGAUGCGCGAAAGCUAGGGGAGCGAACGGGG
rnacentral:rRNA from 1 species